AUAUAUAUGUAUAUACACAAUACAGAUGUUUCCCGAGAUGCUGCCGACAUUAUUUGAAAUUCUCACACUUGUAUUGCUUCUACAAUUCCAUGGGUCAGACAGCUGUUUAGGCACCUGCAAACCCCUUAAAACGAAGCCCCCACCACACAUCUUCCGCCUGCUGCCACAGAUGUUCAAGGCUCGAAUCCAGCUUACAGACGUCAUGCGGAACCAAACGAGCCUGGUGGAGGAGUAUUAUGACAUGACUAAACUAAAGGCUGGAUCAAUCACUGAGUACAGACGUCACCGCAAGAGAACACAAAUAAUUGAUUACAAGCACCAGAAGAUUGUUUAUU
rnacentral:lncRNA from 1 species